rnacentral:rRNA from 1 species
UACGUAGGGCGCAAGCGUUGUCCGGAAUUAUUGGGCGUAAAGAGCUCGUAGGCGGUCUGUCGCGUCGGAUGUGAAAGCCCGGGGCUUAACCCCGGGUCUGCAUUCGAUACGGGCAGACUAGAGUGUGGUAGGGGAGAUCGGAAUUCCUGGUGUAGCGGUGAAAUGCGCAGAUAUCAGGAGGAACACCGGUGGCGAAGGCGGAUCUCUGGGCCGAUACUGACGCUGAGGAGCGAAAGCGUGGGGAGCGAACAGG